CUUUCUGGAUCAUUACUGACACUGAGGAACGAAAGCAUGGGUAGCGAAGAGGAUUAGAUACCCUCGUAGUCCAUGCCGUAAACGAUGUGUGUUAGACGUUGGAAAUUUAUUUUCAGUGUCGCAGGGAAACCGAUAAACACACCGCCUGGGGAGUACGACCGCAAGGUUAAAACUCAAAUGAAUUGACGGGGACCCGCACAAGUAGUGGAGCAUGUGGUUUAAUUCGAAGAUACGCGCAGAACCUUACCAACACUUGACAUGUUCGUCGCGACUCUAAGAGAUUAGAGUUUUCGGUUCGGCCGGACGAAACACAGGUGCUGCAUGGCUGUCGUCAGCUCGUGUCGUGAGAUGUUGGGUUAAGUCCCGCAACGAGCGCAACCCUCACUUUUAGUUGCCAUCAUUAAGUUGGGCACUCUGAAAGAACUGCCAGUGAUAAGCUGGAGGAAGGUGGGGAUGACGUCAAGUCCUCAUGGCCCUUACGUGUUGGGCUACACACGUGCUACAAUGGUAUCUACAACAGGAAGCAAAACUGCGAAGUUAAGCAAAUCCCUAAAAGAUACCUCAGUUCGGAUUGCACUCUGCAACUCGAGUGCAUGAAGCUGGAAUUACUAGUAAUCGUGGAUCAGCGUGCCACGGUGAAUGCGUUCCCGGGUCUUGUACACACCGCCCGUCACACCAUGGGAGUUGGUUCUACCUUAAGGCAAGGUUUUAAACCCUUGACCACGGUAUAGUCAGCGACUGGGGUGAAGUCGUAACAAGGUAGCCGUA
rnacentral:rRNA from 1 species